rnacentral:rRNA from 1 species
UACGGAGGGUGCAAGCGUUAAUCGGAAUUACUGGGCGUAAAGCGCGCGUAGGCGGCUUUGUAAGUCGGAUGUGAAAGCCCUGGGCUUAACCUGGGAAUUGCAUUCGAUACUGCUUAGCUAGAGUAUGGUAGAGGGAAGUGGAAUUUCCGGUGUAGCGGUGAAAUGCGUAGAUAUCGGAAGGAACACCAGUGGCGAAGGCGGCUUCCUGGACCGACACUGACGCUGAGGCGCGAAAGCUAGGGGAGCAAACGGG